GCCACUGCUACCCGACCGUGCUCUCCUCUGUACCGCUGGGGCUACGUUUCCCAGGCCCUGCCCGCUGGAUUCUUGAGAUCGGAAGAGCAU